UACGUAGGCGGUUCGGUAAGUCAGGUGUGAAAUCCCGGGGCUCAACCUCGGAACUGCACCCGAUACUGCUGAACUUGAGUAAUGGAGAGGCAGGUGGAAUUCUCGGUGUAGCAGUGAAAUGCGUGGAUAUCGAGAGGAAGACCAAUGGCGAAGGCAGCCUGCUGGACAUUUACUGACGCUGAGGUACGAAGGCCAGGGUAGCGAAAG
rnacentral:rRNA from 1 species